AGUGAACGCUGGCGGCAGGCCUAACACAUGCAAGUCGAGCGGCAGCGCGGGGGCAACCCUGGCGGCGAGCGGCGGACGGGUGAGGAAUUCGUCGGAAUCUGCCUUUUUGUGGGGGAUAACGUAAGGAAACUUACGCUAAUACCGCAUACGUCCUACGGGAGAAAGUGGGGGACCGCAAGGCCUCACGCAGAAAGAUGAGCCGACGACCGAUUAGCUAGUUGGUGGGGUAAAGGCCCACCAAGGCGACGAUCGGUAGCUGGUCUGAGAGGAUGAUCAGCCACACUGGGACUGAGACACGGCCCAGACUCCUACGGGAGGCAGCAGUGGGGAAUAUUGGACAAUGGGCGCAAGCCUGAUCCAGCCAUGCCGCGUGUGUGAAGAAGGCCUUCGGGUUGUAAAGCACUUUUGUCCGGAAAGAAAUCCCUGGAGCUAAUACCUUCGGGGGAUGACGGUACCGGAAGAAUAAGCACCGGCUAACUUCGUG
rnacentral:rRNA from 1 species